rnacentral:rRNA from 1 species
GAUGAACGCUGGCGGCGUGCCUAAUACAUGCAAGUCGAGCGAACAGACGAGGAGCUUGCUCCUCUGACGUUAGCGGCGGACGGGUGAGUAACACGUGGAUAACCUACCUAUAAGACUGGGAUAACUUCGGGAAACCGGAGCUAAUACCGGAUAAUAUAUUGAACCGCAUGGUGCAAUAGUGAAAGACGGUUUUGCUGUCACUUAUAGAUGGAUCCGCGCCGCAUUAGCUAGUUGGUAAGGUAAAGGCUUACCAAGGCAACGAUGCGUAGCCGACCUGAGAGGGUGAUCGGCCACCCUGUAACUGAGACACGGUCCAGACUCCUACGGGAGGCAGCAGUAGGGAAUCUUCCGCAAUGGGCGAAAGCCUGACGGAGCAACGCCGCGUGAGUGAUGAAGGUCUUCGGAUCGUAAAACUCUGUUAUUAGGGAAGAACAAAUGUGUAAGUAACUAUGCACGUCUUGACGGUACCUAAUCAGAAAGCCACGGCUAACUACGUG